rnacentral:rRNA from 1 species
CGAGCGCAACCCUUGUCUUUAAUUGCCAUCAUUGAGUUGGGCACUUUAAAGAGACUGCCGGUGUUAAACCGGAGGAAGGUGGGGAUGACGUCAAGUCCUCAUGGCCUUUAUGCCCAGGGCUACACACGUGCUACAAUGGCCGGUACAAAGAGUUGCGAUACCGCGAGGUGGAGCUAAUCUCAUAAAGCCGGUCUCAGUUCGGAUUGGAGUCUGCAACUCGACUCCAUGAAGUUGGAAUCGCUAGUAAUCGCGGAUCAGCACGCCGCGGUGAAUACGUUCCCGGGCCUU